GGCGUGUAAGGUGACUGAAUCCGUUCUGGUGUUGGAAUAUUUUAAUUAGAUUGGUGUUGGAAGAUUUAAAAUCUAUACACAAACAUCAUAACUACCGUGAUGUACAGCAUCACUGAAAAACGCAUAAAUGUAACUCCAAGAGUUACGGACAAAACAACUAUCCUCAACAAAUUUGUGCAAUAUUUUUCAUGACGGGAACAGUCAUUUUC
rnacentral:lncRNA from 1 species